GUUCUGUUAAAGGUCAUGAGGAUCUCCACUCUCCUACAGUGUUCCUAAACAGAGUGGUAGGUGGAGGGAUAAGUUGAUCCCUGAGGACCUAACCACAGACCCAGGGUAUGCAGGUCGGGUGGAGUAUCCUGACCAAGAGAGUAGUAGAUACAGAGGUCCCUUCACCCUGAGAAUCACAGGUCUGAGAGAGGAGGACUCAGCUGAAUAUCGCUUCACUUUUAAAACAUACAACUUUGAAUGGGGUCAUAGUCUCCCUGGAACAACUCUGACUGUCACCGUUGUUCAGGUGGAUGUGAGUCCUAAAGAGUGGUCAGAAUCAAAGAAGCUGACC